rnacentral:rRNA from 1 species
GACGAACGCUGGCGGCGUGCCUAAUACAUGCAAGUUGAGCGCUGAAGGUUGGUACUUGUACCGACUGGAUGAGCAGCGAACGGGUGAGUAACGCGUGGGUAAUCUGCCUUUGAGCGGGGGACAACAUCGGGAAACGAAUGCUAAUACCGCAUAAAAACUUUAAACACAAGUUUCAAGUUUGAAAGAUGCAAUUGCAUCACUCAAAGAUGAUCCCCCGUUGUAUUAGCUAGUUGGUGAGGUAAAGGCCCACCAAGGCAAUGAUACAUAGCCGCCCGGAGGGGUUGUCCGGCCAAAUGGGACCUGGGACCCGCCCCAGCCCCUUACGGGAGCAGCCAGUGGGGAUCUUCGGCAAAUGACGGAAGUCUUGACGAGGAACGCCGCCGGGGGGGAGGAAGGUCUUGGGUCGUUAAACUCUUUUUGUAGGGAAGAACGUUGGGGGGAGUGGAAAGCUCAUCAAGUGACGGUACCUACCCAGAAAGGGACGGCUAACUACGUG